rnacentral:tRNA from 1 species
GGAUAGCUCAGUCAGUAAAGCAUGAAACUCUUAAUCCCAGGGUUGUGGGUUCGAGCCCCACGUUGAGCA